GAUGAGGUAGCCAACAUUGUUUUUAUAUAUAUAUAUAUAUAUAUAUAUAUAUAUUUUAAUUGGGGUAGCCCCCAAAAUAUUGGGACAUAUAAAGACAACUCUGUUCCGCAGAGUAGCUGUUGACAUUAUAGUUGCGCAGGAACUUUGUUGACUCUAGAGAACCUCGGGCAAAUCGCACAUCCCCGUGGCGGCGACUUUGCAUGCGGAUGUCAUCCAUAUCAACUUUCGGUGACCACGGGUAACGGGGAAUCAGGGUUCCAUUCCG